CUGGGUUCUGUUGUUGGCAACCAACAGAGUUGUUGUCUUUUCUCGCAUUCAUUAAAAUGCACAAGAAGAAAUUUCUAAUGGUGAGGGAGUACUUGCUUCAAAUUCAUACUUCAGUGAAAUAAACAACACCAUACAUAGGAAUGUGAAAGCAAAGUCAUCAUACACUGUUUGCUUCAUUGUAUGAGAAUCAAUGUUUGCAUGAUAAACUGCCCUAAUGGAAGAGGACUCUGAGUUACCUUUUUCGAGCAAAGCCACCUAGGUUACUCUGUUUUCCCCAGAGUGACCCUUCUGUUCUGCAAAUUUUCAGAUUGAAGGGAGUAGCAGUAGAGUAUCAGAAGUAUCAGAAGCAAAAAAGUAAAUGUAUGAUUUGCAAAGCAUAACAAAAUGAAAAAUAAGCUUCUGCAGUCAUGGAAGUUCAGAAUUGGAUAACAACUUAGAUUAUUUAUUCCAACCUCAUCGAAAAAGAGAUAAAGACAUGGAAUUCAGGAAAAGUGGGUAUACCAUACAGAUGCUGCUGUGGAUGCAGUAUUGGCCCCAGUCAGAGUCUUGCUACCAUGAGAAUCUCUGCUCCAGGCACUAUGGUCCUCCCUGGGCUUACUAAGCCAGACAAGCUUCCACA
rnacentral:lncRNA from 1 species